rnacentral:lncRNA from 1 species
AUUUAAGUUGAACCCUCUUUGUAAGUCUCCAGGUUUCUGCUCCGUAGGAGUAGCCAAAGUCGAAGCCAAGAAGAAUCCGACGUCUUGAGAGCGUGCGGCGCAUGGAGGUCGUCGUUGGGGUGCUGCCGGUAGAACUGCCGAUCUGUUGACUCUCACGUUCGUUGUCGAUCGGCCCUCUCCACGGACUGUUUGGCUUUCCGAACUGCGGACACUCAGUGAGCACAGCUUUUGCAUCUGCAUUCAUGGCUUCCAUAUCGAACUACGCCAAAAGGAUGGCGCUGUUGGGCGCGCGCAUCUUCGGAGAAGUGCCUCGUCCUACGAACAAAAAGUCCAUGCGGGUUGUGCAACUAUUCAGUGACGUCCCGCAUGAUUUGAACCCCGAGAUCGUGGACUGGUACCCACCGCACCACCAAUUGACCACCCUCAUGUUUCGUCUCCGAAUGCACGGUCUGUACAGAGACGAGCAUCAGGACUUCAAAGAAGAAAUGAGGCGUCUUCGCAGGUUGCGAGGCAAAGGAAGACCAAAGAAGGGCGAAGGAAAACGAGCGAUGUUGGCAAAGAAGUGAUGCGUGCAUUGGACUGCACAACUGAAAGCAGUUAUGUCAAAUAUAAUUUUGUUUCCC